rnacentral:rRNA from 1 species
AUGUGGUUAUUUGUUUUGCGAGUGGCUUAUAGUUCGGUGUGUUUGAAUUUUGGUUCAUGUACGAUUAUGAGUUCGUCUUGUAAGGAACAUGAGAUGAAAAUGCCACUAUCACAUGUUCCAUUUUGGUUAUUAUUUAAUAUAUUUUCUUGUCUGGAACACGAUAAAUUAACAAGCUUUUGCAGCUUCGUUUGGAAUCAUAUUUUUGCAGGAAACAAUAAUAAUUCGGUGGCCACAGGAAUCGAGGGAAAAAAUGAUCCUGUAUGUGGUUGGGCUUGGCCCAGUAAUUAUCACCACGUGACCAUCUCGGCUCUCGGGUAA